CGUAAGGGGCGAGCGUUGUUCGGAAUUAUUGGGCGUAAAGGGCACGCAGGCGGCCUGACAAGUCUGGUGUGAAAUCUCCGGGCUCAACUCGGGAAACGCGCUGGAAACUGUCAAGCUAGAGUAUUGGAGGGGGAGUCGGAAUUCCUAGUGUAGGGGUGAAAUCUGUUGAUAUUAGGAAGAACACCGGUGGCGAAGGCGGACUCCUGGCUGAAUACUGACGCUGAGGUGCGAAAGCAUAGGGAGCAAACAGGAUUAGAUACCCUGGUAGUCUAUGCUGUAAACGAUGUGCACUUGGUGUUGGGCCGAUUAGGCUCAGUGCCGUAGCUAACGCGAUAAGUGCGCCGCCUGGGGAGUAUGCCCGCAAGGGUG
rnacentral:rRNA from 1 species